rnacentral:rRNA from 1 species
UACGGGGGGGCAAGCGUUGUUCGGAAUUACUGGGCGUAAAGGGCUCGUAGGCGGCCAACUAAGUCGGACGUGAAAUCCCCAGGCUCAACCUGGGAACUGCGUCCGAUACUGGAUGGCUUGAAUCCGGGAGAGGGAUGCAGAAUUCCAGGUGUAGCGGUGAAAUGCGUAGAUAUCUGGAGGAAUACCGGUGGCGAAGGCGGGUCUCUGGGCAGUAACUGACGCUGAGGAGCGAAAGCGUGGGGAGCGAACAGG